CAGUCGCCGCGGUAAUACGAAGGGUGCAAGCGUUAAUCGGAAUUACUGGGCGUAAAGCGUGCGUAGGUGGUGGUUUAAGUCCGUUGUGAAAGCCCUGGGCUCAACCUGGGAAUUGCAGUGGAUACUGGAUCACUAGAGUGUGGUAGAGGAUAGUGGAAUUUCCGGUGUAGCAGUGAAAUGCGUAGAGAUCGGAAGGAACAUCUGUGGCGAAGGCGACUAUCUGGGCCAACACUGACACUGAGGCACGAAAGCGUGGGGAGCAAACAGGAUUAGAUACCCCCGUAGUCCCUGUCUCUUAUAC
rnacentral:rRNA from 1 species